UACAGAGGGUGCGAGCGUUGAUCGGAAUUACUGGGCGUAAAGCGCGCGUAGGCGGCUUUGCAAGUCGGGUGUGAAAUCCCCAGGCUUCACCUGGGAACUGCAUUCGAGACUGGGUUGCUAGAGUAUGGGAGAGGGAAGUGGAAUUUCCGGUGUAGCGGUGAAAUGCGUAGAUAUCGGAAGGAACAUCAGUGGCGAAAGCGACUUCCUGGACCAAUACUGACGCUCAUGUGUGAAAGCGUGGGGAGCAAACAGG
rnacentral:rRNA from 1 species